rnacentral:rRNA from 1 species
UGAGGAAUAUUGCGCAAUGGAGGCAACUCUGACGCAGCCAUGCCGCGUGCAGGAAGAAGGCGCUACGCGUCGUAAACUGCUUUUACCAGGGAAGAAACCCCCAGACGUGUCUGGGGUUGACGGUACCUGAGGAAUAAGCACCGGCUAACUUCGUGCCAGCAGCCGCGGUAAUACGAAGGGUGCAAGCGUUAUCCGGAUUCAUUGGGUUUAAAGGGUGCGUAGGCGGGUCGUUAAGUCAGUGGUGAAAUCC